AGGACUGACGACACCUGAGACCCAUACAGUCUGACAGUGACAUCGCAGAUCACGUUCGGGCUUCCCUAGACUUGCACAAGGGAGUUUGGGAAGGACAUGGU